CUUUGAAUGAAAUACAUGUAAAGACGUUUGCAUCGCAGUGUGGUAUUUCCAGUGGACGUCGUUGUUAGAAUUUGUGCCUGGUUGCACCUUUAAAGAUCUCACAUUUAGGCUGAUGAUGACUUGCCCACCCUGGAGCCGUGCACAGUGCCGCUGCUGACACAGCCGUGCACCGACAUCAGGCAGCGCGGGCUCUCAGCUCCUGCUUCUCACACUUCUCAGGUGUGAGUGCUGCUGCUGAGCGUCAUCCAAUCGAAAGGCAGACUCCUAAAGACAGCACAGAGUCGCCUCCCACCUUACUCACUGCCUCUGACACUGUGCGGCUCCCGGCUCCCCACUAAGCCAGAC
rnacentral:lncRNA from 1 species